rnacentral:lncRNA from 1 species
GGGGCGUGUGGGGGAGCCCUGAGAGCGAAGGCGCGUGUUCGCGCGCGUCCGUGAGGCCGCGUGUGUGAGGCUAUGUACACUGAGAGGCCGUAGUGUUGCGGCGGGGACACAGCUGGUCCUGAGAAGGCAUCAUACUCAGACAAGCCUGCAAGAUUGCAUUCAUUCCUGUUGUUUCCGUUAGUGAUGCUCGUCCAUGGAAUGAUAAUCUAAUUUUCCUCCGUGGGUUGAUGUUCUGUCAUCAGAGGAGUGUCAGGAAGACCUAUUACAGAGCAGACAUCUAAGAUGAGUGAAGGCCCUGAAUUUCAGCUGGAACAUGUCUGCCCAGAAUGGAGCCUUCAUUUCAGCUUCCAUUGCAGUCUUUAGGAUGGAGUAGAAAGUGCUGGGAAGGCGGAUGUAUAUAAACAAAAGGUCUUUAAAUGACCACACACCUCCUCUCCAACCUCUAUCAAGAAUUGCUGUUAGAAGUUUCCAGUCUGAAGGGGACAGAGACACACAGAGAGAGAGAGGCAGAGAGAGAAGCAGGCUCCAUGCAGAGAGCCCGACGCAGGACUCGAUACAGGGUCUCCAGGAUCACACCCUGGGCUGCGGGCGGCGCUAAACCGCUGCGCCACCAGGGCUGCCCUAAAAAUCUUGAGCUUUUUGAAGAGCAAGAGAUGAGAACAAGGACAUUAGAUGUUGGAGUGGGCCUGGAAGACGUUUGGUCCCUAAAUGGGAGGUGGAAAGUCCUCAGAGGGCCAUGCUGACAAGAUGGGCCCUAGAGCUGGGUCCUUAGUCAAGGACUCUCUUGUGUUACAUAUGACAUAAAAGCAGCCCCAUCUAAACUUGGACAACGGACAUCUCUGCACCAACCUGUUCAGAGAAAAAAGCAGAGGAACCUUCCUGAUGUACUGACAUGGUGUGGGAUCUCUGGACUACUGUGAUACUUGUGUGGAGGAAGGGAAUCUUCCCAUUAAUUGAGGAAAAAUUCUCUGUGUUCCAAUGGGAUGAGGGUUCAGAUUAGGGUGAGAAGUUUCACAUUUCUCUCUGCUACAUUUGGUGUGUGGGCUUGGAAUUUCCUUUUUAAUAACUCCCAAGUACAUCAUACUCAUUUCUUGUUUUAUUUGUAGCAGAGAAAAAUAUUUACAGUAUUUUUAUCUUUGACCUUAGAGAUAGGUAUGCGUAUAGGUUUAGAUAUAUAUGUAUAAAUGUAGUUAUUUUCACCCUGCCUUUUCCCACAAAUGAUUUUAGACAAUAUAAUUGCUUUGUUUGGGGAAAUUAUCAAUUCAGUGCUAAAAAUCUCUCUUCCACAUUGACAAUAAAAUAUAGCUAAAAAAUAUUGUGCUACCAAUUGACUUGAGACUAGAGCUAAAUCUAAAUUUACUCAUUGUUUAAGAUACAUGGUUUAUUUAAAAAUUAAGAAUUUACAAAAUUCUAUGGCUUAGAGAGUUGGUAUUUUCAUGAGCCCACAUCAUGUAGCAGCUAAUGAAUUUAAGCUCUAAGGCCAGACAUACCUGAGAUUCAAUUCCAGGUUUCUUAAUGCUAUCUUUGUAAUAUUGGGCAAGUUAUUUUCUCCUUAGUUGUAUAGGGUCAUUGUGAGGAUUGACUGUAAAUGUGGGAUAAAGCACUUGAGCAGUGCCUGCACAGACUUCAUGUUUAAUGUUUAAUAAUGCUAGUUAGUUCUUCCUACUAAAGAGUCCUGCUAUCAAGAACUUAGGAUGUACCCAUGUGAGGCAAGCAAUCCAUUUGUUCAAAACAAGUCAUAAUCCUUGGUUUAUUUAAGUUAGACUCCUAAGAAUCCCCAAAAACACAUUUUAGCAUUGCUACUAUGUGUACCCAGAGAAAUAAAUCUAUAUUUCUUUGGGAUAUCUUAUAAGUCAAAUGAUUUACUACUUCAAACUGAUACUUCCCUAGACUUACAAUGAAAAAUGAGAUGUCUUUAUUCAAUGACAAUACCUGUGUUGGCUUGCUUUUUCCAAAAGUAGUAAUGGAUUACACUAAAUUAUUAGCAUAGUUUUCCCACUUUUACCUGUUACUUCUACAUAUUUAUCUGUCUCUCUGUGUACGUGUAUGCUUGCCUGUGUGCAUGUGCACAUAUGCCUACAUUCAUGCCCCUAAAGAAUGUAAAGUUAAUUAAGUUCAGUACCUUAAUAGGUGUUGAUGUUAUCACAUUGGCCCAAUAAAUGCUGUGCACCAAUUUUUAUCUAUCUAUCAUCUAUCUAUCUAUCUAUCUAUCUAUCUAUCUAUCUAUCUAUCUAUCAUCUAUCUUUGGGAGACAGUGAGUGAGCAGGAGGAGGAGCAGAGGGAGAGGAACAAGUUGACUCCACACUGAGUGCAGAGCUUGAUGUGGGGGCCUGAUCCCAGGACCCAGAGAUCAUGAGUGGGGAUGCUGAGUUGACUGAGCCACCCAGGCACACCCUGUGCACCAAUUUACAAACUAAUUCAGACUACUGAGAAUCCAUGGCAGGACUAGAUAAUGCAUUUUUAGAGCAUAUUUGUACAAUACAUGACAUAUGCUGAUAUAAAUCAUUUUUAAGAGGGAUCCUACAGGGGGUAAUACUUGCUUAUUCAGCAGUUUUUGUUGUUGUUGUUGUUCAGCAGUUUUUUAAGGAAAAAAUGUGGUCUUUAUUUGAAUAAUAUAACUUCUACCUCAUUUAAGAUAUUUAUUAGAAAGUUAUUUUUACUUGGGAAUUUAUUAUUGCUCAUAAAAAUAAUUAGAAUAACCAAACACGUACAAUGGAGUGAAAAAUACACACUGUUAAGUAACAAUAUGUGGUGAUUAUUUAGUUCAAAAAUACCAAAAAUCCAUAGGGUGGUAAGAUUGUCCUUCCUUACCAAAAAGGCGUGGAAACCUUUGUUAGAUGGAAUUGGCAAUAAGGUUUCCUCAUUGACUGCAUUGGAAGUUUUGUUUUCUUACAUAAGGCUUGAACACGGAUUGUGGAGUUGUUUCUCCUCUUGCAAACAUUGAGAAUUCUGUCUUUAAGGUUCUCUGUGCUUCCUGUUAUCUUCUAGAUCUAGGCAGAGCAGACUGUGGAAGGGUUUGCUCUGAUGGCACAUGCUGUCUGUGUUACACAUUGUUUUACUCUGGAAAUACUCUUUUAGAACUACAGUUUGUUUCCUGUCUCCUGGAGUUCAUGUCAGAGGUGGGAGGGACUCUGAAUGUCCUAGAUCAGGGUUUUACUGAAAAAGGUUUUCAUUUUUUCUUGAAAAAGUCAUGGAGGAAAAAAAAAAAGGAAGGGCAUGUGAAAUUACAAAGUAAAUUGUUUCAGUUGCAAACAUUACCUUGAAUGUUUUCUUAAGGCUCAGAGAGAAUUAUUUGUGGCAGCAGAAUGAAUGACUCUAAGAGGUCAAUAUCCAGUUGACUUUUUACAGAGUUUUACUAAUCUAGGUAAAACAUUAUCCUAUUAUUGGGAAUAUUGGAUUGCAAAGAAUGAUUCAUUGAUAAGCCCUGCUUAAAAAAGAGAGUUUAGCUAUUGAGCAGAGCCAAAUAAUAGAUUUUUGUAACUUCUAAGAGUUUAUCCCCAAACGAGAGUAUAUGCACAGACUUGACUAUAUCAACUUGUUCACUGUAGCUUUAUAGUAUGUUUUUUUAGCUGAGAGAACAAAUUUCCCAGUAUAAUUCUUUUCUAAAAAUGCUGAUCAUGUAUUCAUUCAGAAAAUCUCAGGGGCAUCUGAGUGGUUCAGCAGUUGAGUGUCUGCCUUUGGCUCAAGUCCUGAUCCUGGUCCUGGGAUUGAGUCCUGCAUCAGGCUCCCUGCAGGGAGUCUGCUUCUCCCUUUGCCUGUAUCUCUGCCUCUCUCUGUGUCUCUCAUGAAUAAAUAAAUAAAAUCUUUAAAAAAUAAUCUGUAUAUCUGUCAUAUUCCAUCACCUUUGCCAUAAGGUAUAUUUUAAUGUAAAUUAUAUUAACUCUGCAAAUAAAUAUAGUAGAAUUAA